UGCAUCCUUACGGGAGGCAGCGCGACUGUAAAUAAUGCUGCCGUAUGCAAGUCAGCUUGCUGGCAACACGAUCGAAUUGCGGGGACCUCCUAAAGCUCAACCUACUCCCUGCCACCGAAAGGUGGUAGCAUAGUUAAAAUGGUUGGGAUGUUACAAUGGACGAUCCGCAGCGAAGACCCUAAAGCGUCAGCCACGGGUAACGUUCACAGACUAAGUGAUUGUGGGUAGGCUUCUACUUAAGAUAUAGUCGAGCCCUAGCCGAAAGGUUGGGGGUAAAGGUCCGUAGGUGAACCUGCGGAAGGAUCAUUA
rnacentral:ncRNA from 1 species